rnacentral:rRNA from 1 species
UACGUAGGGCGCAAGCGUUAUCCGGAAUUAUUGGGCGUAAAGCGCGCGUAGGUGGCUUCGUAAGUCCGUUGUGAAAGUCAAAGGCUCAACCUUUGAAAGCCGAUGGAUACUGCGGAGCUAGAGUACGGAAGAGGCGAGUGGAAUUCCUGGUGUAGCGGUGGAAUGCGCAGAUAUCAGGAGGAACACCAAUAGCGAAGGCAGCUCGCUGGGACGUUACUGACACUGAGGCGCGAAAGCGUGGGGAGCAAACAGG